rnacentral:tRNA from 1 species
UCUAAUAUGGCAGAUAAGUGCGGUGGAUUUAAGCUCCACAUAUAAAGCUCCCGUAACUUUUAUUAGAA